rnacentral:rRNA from 1 species
AUUGAACGCUGGCGGCAUGCUUUACACAUGCAAGUCGAACGGCAGCGCGGGCUUCGGCCUGGAGGCGAGUGGCGAACGGGUGAGUAAUGCAUCGGAACGUGCCCAGUAGUGGGGGAUAGCCCGGCGAAAGCCGGAUUAAUACCGCAUACGACCUGAGGGUGAAAGCGGGGGACCGAAAGGCCUCGCGCUAUUGGAGCGGCCGAUGUCGGAUUAGCUAGUUGGUGGGGUAAAGGCUUACCAAGGCGACGAUCCGUAGCUGGUCUGGGAGGACGACCAGCCACACUGGGACUGAGACACGGCCCAGACUCCUACGGGAGGCAGCAGUGGGGAAUUUUGGACAAUGGGGGCAACCCUGAUCCAGCCAUGCCGCGUGCGGGAAGAAGGCCUUCGGGUUGUAAACCGCUUUUGUUCGGGAAGAAAUCCUCUGGGCUAAUACCCCGGGGGGAUGACGGUACCGGAAGAAUAAGCACCGGCUAACUACGUG